AUGAUAAUCCAGUGCUCUAAAAUUGGCCCCGGGCCCCCAGAUUUCUCCGUAGGCCAGAUACGUCACCAUUCUCAGAUAUGCUACAUGCGCUCUGUUUGGGAUUCAAAAACUGAUGCAAAAUAUGAUGGCAUCAAAGAAACCACUUAUUCCUUCAAAAAAACUAUCGUUACAGAUAGUCCUCAACCCGUUUCUGCUGGAACUUCUUCAUUCUUGACUAACAUUCCUACCCCAUCGGAAUUCUGCAGCAUCCUCAAGUCUAACUACCCACAAUUGGCACAUUCCAAGCUCGGCAUACUCCUCAAUCAGCACAACGCUGUUUCAUUUAAAUCCUGCAAUGAAUUGAAGCGAUCCGUUCAUGAAGAGAACACUAGAUUUCUUCACAGCCUUCUGUCCACCUUAUCUAAAAGUUGCAUCUGUUGCACGCUCCAUGGGACAACAUGCAUUGCACAAGAACUGCAGCCACCUGAAAGCCCUCUUUUAUCUAAUUUGUACCGGCAUUCGAAGCAGCAGUCUAAGUCUGAAGGCGCCACAUCUGCAGCACCAAAGGAUAAACAUAAGGCUGCCAAUUCGUCUUACACUAUUAAUGAGGUCACACCAUCACACAAGAAAAGCAGGAUAAACUCAUAUGACGCUGAUGACGAUGUUACUCCAAAAAUCACGAAAUUGCACCAACCAACUGAAGAGUCCAAAUGUUGGGCUGACAGCCUAAUAGGCGGCAUCCUCAUGUUCACCGAUGAGACUGACCCGCCUGAAGAUGUUGUCGUAUUUGCUCAGAUCUCACCAUUCAAACCAACCCCCGUAUCUACCUUGCACACAUCUUACGCUGAUUCUCAUUGGACUGAUGGUAGAUUACACAUUCAUCCACCACCAGACGUUCUAAUCGCGAUUCACUCAUAUUUUCGGAACCACCCUCCAAGUGAACUUAGCCGUCCCCGAUAUUGCUCUCUGGCUGGUAAAACUAUUGUCGACCAGUUGUAUGGAUCCAAGCUUCUUGACCACGAAGCUUGA
rnacentral:rRNA from 1 species